CACGGGAGCGCGUGUGGGUGCGUCGCCGCGUCGCGCCACAGCGCGCACGCGUGCGUGCACACUCGCGACGCGACAGAGUGCUGUUAUGAUUGUUGACAGUAAUGAUACCCGAAAGCAAAAAGAGAAUAAGGAAGGACUAUGCUCGGCAUAUAGAUAGAGUAAGUUGAGCUCAACUCACAGAAUGCGGAUGAGAUGGACGAUUAAGUUACACGUGUGUCAGUUAUCAAUGACAGACACAUACGCAUUAUGCGAUAAACGAAAUUGUGUAUAGUAUAAAAAUUAAUUUUCAUAAAAACAUUUUAUAAAACUACAUAAAUUAGAAACUGAAAAAAUUAAUAACACGGGACAACUUUCACGACCAAACAUCAAAAUAGGUGAGCCCGAAGGUUUUUGGUGUGAAAAACUGAAAAAACUAUAAUAGUAGCAGUUGCAUUGAGACGAAACUUUCAAGUCUAUUUGCAACUUCAAAUACAAAGAUGCAAAUGUAUGUGCAUCAGCUCAAAGUCUCGAAUGCACAAGCUAAUGAGACAUCCCGAGCAGCACGUAUUAAUUGACCAACAGUUGGUUGUAAAUCGGAAGCAUCGGCAGUUGGAAAGCAAUGUUGAACCGACAUUAUUAAAAUGCUUUUCUUUUUUAUUAUUUCAUACGAAUUAAAUAUUACAAUUAUGUAUUUUACGUUUUCUUUUUAUUUAUUAGAUAACAAUGUAUUCUGUAGUGCAUUUUCCAUUUUAAUUGCACAGGAGAAAGUCAACAAGUUGAGAAAACAGCAGCAGUUGAAGAAAGACAGGAACAAGAAGUUAUGCUAAAAUGAAUAAAUGCCAAGCAUUUAGUGAAAUAUUGAGUUUAUUAAAAACGUUAGUAUGAGUUACAAUACCAUAUUUUUUUUGAAUAUAUUAGUACAUAGAAAA